UCGGACACUCCAAGACCUUCUUCGCCAAAGCUUCCUACUCCAAGAGCAGCUACCCUAAGAGCAGACCCACCAAGAUUGGAUGCUCCAAGAUCCACCACACCUAAACCUCCUUCUCCAAGAGCAGACGCACCAAGAUUGGAUGCUCCAAGACCCACCACACCUAAACCUCCUUCUCCAAGAGCAGACGCUCCAAGAUUGGAUGCUCCAAGACCAACCACGCCUAAGCCCCCUUCUCCAAGAGCAGACGGACCAAGAUUGGAUGCUCCAAGACCAACCACGCCUAAGCCCCCUUCUCCAAGAGCAGACGCAUCAAGACUGGAUGCCCCACGUCCCACUACGCCCAAGCCACAUUCUCCAAGAGCAGACCC
rnacentral:lncRNA from 1 species